UCCCGGGUCGUCUAAUGGUAGGACUGAGGACUUUGAAUCCUCCAAUCCAGGUUCGAAUCCUGGCCCGGGAGCCA
rnacentral:tRNA from 2 species